UUUUUUUUCGUGGCCACUACAGGGAGCGACCGCCGCGCCGCCAUCCGAUAGCGCCUGAAACGCGCUUCUGGGCACUUUUUCUCCCUGAAGACGGCCGCUGGCCUAGGUACUGAGGAGGAGAACGCCCCUAGCUCCACUUGUCCCUAAACGCGCUUCGCGCCGGUGUCAACUCACGUCAAGGUGUCCAUGUUGCGAGUGCAGUCGUAACGCUUUGGCGUUGGAUCCGAGCCCAUGGAGAAAGUUGGAGCUGUAGAGCUGUAUGUUUUUGGACAAAGUCAUCAAUUCCAUUGCUCUUCCUGUGCCAAGUGGCCAGGAUAAUGGUUGAAAUUGCUACAAUAAAGGUUAUGAUCAACAACAUUUGUUGAAAUUUUGCAUUUACUUUUGGAAGCGCAGCAUAACGCAUUCCAUGCAACAUUACUAAUGAAAAUGAGUCGACUGAAAAUGCUUAUGUUGUCUGGAGCGCAAUGGAUUAAGCGAGUGCCAUGUCGGAAUAAACAGCAUUAACUAAUUCUUUGGACAAAA